ensembl:snRNA U5 U5 spliceosomal RNA
AUACUCUGGUUCCUCUCCAGGUCACAUAAAUCUUUCACCUCUUAUUAAAGAUUUCUGUGGAGAGGAACAGCUCUCAGUUUUUCAACUACUUUUUUGAGGCCUUGCUUUGGCAGGGCA